ensembl:lncRNA ST8SIA5-DT ST8SIA5 divergent transcript
GAGACGGGGUUUCACCUUGUUAGCCAGGAUGGUCUCGAUCUCCUGACCUCAUGAUCCACCCGCCUCGGCCUCCCAAAGUGCUGGGAUUACAGGCGUGAGCCACCGCGCCCGGCCACAGGUAGGCUUUUUAACCAAUUAAAGAAAAACUCCAACAUUUAGAGGGCCCAUUAUUAUAAUAAUUCCUGUAUUUGUUUGCUGUCUGGCACAUAAAAACGUGCUUCACUUGCAUAUAUUAAUGAAUUUUCACCUCCUAGCCCCUGGCUAACCCAUUUUACAGCUGAAAGGACUAAAGCAACAGAUGCCCAAAGUAACUCACCUAGCAACAAGUCUUGGGAUUCUGAGAUGAGGUUCUUUCUCCCACACACACAGGCAGGCUGGCUUCUUGGGAGUGGGACUUGUUCAUUUGUCCCCACCACCACCAUUGAUUUUGACUGAUUGCUCCACUCUUGCUGUCUUCAAACUUUUGAACAAGGGGGUUUGCAUUUCUCUUUGCACUGGGCCAAAUUAUGAGGUAGGUCCUACACACAGGCUCCAAGAUGACAGUACUAAUUUUUCACUAAUUUUUCUCUACUUGGUGCUCAAGUGUAGAGUUUGAGGGGUACUAUCAUCUUCACUCCAGGCAAGGCACUGUUGUUUCUUUUGUAUUCCUGCUUAUUCUCCACCCCAUCAGGUGCUCACUCUGAUACCUGUCUUUGAGUGCUGUUUUCUUGGAAAAACAAAUCUAUUUUCAAGAAAUGAAUCAAAAUUAUCCUAAGAACUUUUUAAUUGCAAUAUAAUGCAUUUACAGAAAAGUACACAAAUCAUAAAUGUUCAGGUCGCUGUGUUUUCACAAGCUGAACACACCCAUGUAACCAGUACACAGAUCAAUUAUCGGCCCCCAGGAGUCCCCUCAUGUUCCUAUCUGGUUACUAUGUACUCAAGAGUAACCACUGUUCUGAAUCCUAACCCCAAAGAUCAGUGCUUCCUGUUUUGUGUUUUAUAUAAAUGCAAUUAUACAUUAUAUAUUAUUUUGUGUCUGCCUUCUUUUGCUUAACGUUGCUAUGAGAUUUAUCCAUGCUGUUGCAUGUGGUGGGCAGAAUUACAAGAAGACCCCCAAGAUUCCUCACCCCUUCUUGUAUGCACAUUCCCAUAGGUAUUGAUCUAGGCGCUGCUGUGAAGGGAAUUUGCAGAUGUAAUUGGCCUAAAUCAGUUGGCUUUAAUAUCAGGAAAUUGUCCUCAGUGGGCAUGGCCAUAUGGAGCCCUUACAAGGGACUGGGCUCUUCCUGGUGAAAAAGAUUUGAAUCACGAGAGUGGCUGAUAUGAGGGAAAUUCUUUGCUGUUGCCUUCGAAGACAGAAGAGGUCCACAAGGCAAAGGAUGCAGACAGCCUGUAGGAGCUGAGACUGGCUCCUGGCUGACAGCCAGCAAGGAAAUGAGGACCUCAGUCCUCCAAUCAUGAAGCAGACUCCGACUUCUGCUAACAACCUGAAUACACUUCAAAGAGGAUUCUGAGCUCCAGCCGCCUACACAUUGAUUUCAGCUGUUGGGACCCUCAGCCGAGAACCCAGCUAUGCCGUGCCCAGAUGUAAGACCUACACAUCUGUGAGCUUUCUAGUUAACAAGAUGGAGGAAGAGAUAAAGAAGGACAUUCCCCAAAGUCUCACAGAACUCUUCUGCUCACAUCUCAUUGGCUAACAUGAGUCACAUGGUGAACCUGGAUGCAGGGAGGCUGAAGAAGACAGUCAUCUUGCUGGGCAGAAGGAAAGGAAGGAGGACCUAUGAACAGUGGUGGGUUCCAUGUCAGGGGCUUGCCAGCCACAAGGAAAGGUCAGAAAUUCCCAGAAUUUCAGUUCUGAAAUCUGUAUGUUGACCCAGACUCUUGGGAAUUUUACCUGGAUAUUUUCAGAUUCUUAAACAUAAUUUUUAAUGUCAUUUGAAUGGAUGCAGAGGAGAGC